AUUUUCGUUUUUUCCCCCCCUUUCAAGGUAUAUAUCCUUGGUUAUGUUUUGCUUAUUUCAGAUGCACAAUAAGAGAUGUAAUAGAAAUGUGAAAUAGGAAGGGAACAUGAUUUGUACCUAAAAAUGGCUCUUUGCUCUUAAUUCCCACAAGCCAAUCCGUCCAUGCCUUCCCUUUUCUUCUCUUUGGUGGGGUUAUGGGGGGAAGAAAAGAAAAAUUAUUGCCAAGGACAGCAACAAACUGUAGAGAAGGCCAUUAUAUCGUUUUUCAAUGUCUCCACCCAAUUGAUGAUGGUUCUUGGUCUACCAUUAUGAAGUCAGGCGUACCUUUUAAGUUUUAACCACGCAAAGAAACAAAGAAAGAAAAUUUAUAUUCAAGUCUAACACUUCAGCCCCAGGCAACGAAAGUGCUGGACAAAAUGUAAUAUGCUAGAACAUGUGACAAUUAGUCCAGUCAUCUUAUAUAUUAGACUACGACUUUUCAAAAUGAAUGCAGUCAACUCGCACUUGCCAUUUCUAUUUGAAGUUAUGGUUCGAGAUGUCAACCUGUAGAUGAUUUUUUUGGUCCUAAAUUCUUGUUUGGUAUUAUUACUCUUAACAUCAUUUUGAUCAAAAGAAAAAGAAAAAAAUCAAUCAUGUUACUUUCAUGUGAAAAAGUACAAUCAAACUUCUGCUUAUGCUUAUGGCAUUAAAACUUUCAGAUUGAUAUUCGAGGUGACCUAUUUGGUCUUCUGGCAGCACAUCCUAUGGUACCCCUUGUAUCGCUCCACCACCUUGACCACGUGAAACCAUUGUUUCCAAAUCUGACUCAGCAUGAGUCACUGGAAAAUCUCAUCCAAGCAUACCAUAUGGACCCAGCCCAGAUAAUGCAGCAGUCAUUCUGCUACCAUGGGUGGUAUAAAUGGUCUGUGUCUAUCUCAUGGGGCUACGCUGCGCAGAUAUACCCUUCAUUAUUGAUAGCUGGAGACUUGGAGAAACCAUUGCAGACAUUCCGGACAUGGCGGAGUUGGAGCAAUGGACCCUUUAUUUUCAAUACACGUCCUGUGAAUCCUGACCCUUGUGAACGCCCAGCUGUAUAUUACAUAGAGGGGAUUGGCGAAGAUGGCAACGGUGGGACUCUCACUAGUUACAGGAGGUCCAUUUCUGAGCCUGAGAAUUGUAGGGGAGGACACCAUGGCCAUGCAGUGGGUAUUGAGAGAGUUCUCGUCUCAGCAUUGAAAAUGGACCAAAAAGAAUGGAAGGUUCGUUCCAUUUUUUCCCCGUUGCUUAACCAUUUUAAUAUGCAUAUUAGCCGCCACUAAGACUCUGAAGGUAUGUCUUCGCACAAAGUAGGACACUGAUAAUUGAUUGAACCAAAAAGCUAGAAUCCCAGAAGUUGGAUAAAGUCUUGAACCAAACUUUGCUAGGCGUGGCAUUUCCUGUCUUGUUUCAUAACUUAAAAAAUGUUGAGCAUCACAAAUUAGUUGAAAGUUCCGGCCGCGCUAUUUUCCAAAAUGUUUUGGUGAUUAUUCUAUAUCCAGCAUUUUACUUGCAUAAAGUGGCCUAAUUGUUUUUACUUCUUGUACAAUUGCGUUUGAGAGGUUGCCUAUACGCAAGCAUUAGGCAAUUGAAGUAUAAGACGGCUGUCAAUUUUAAUUUGUAAAUAUUGAAAUUUGGUAGUGUUAUUCUUGCUUAUGCCUCUUCUAAAUUGCCUUUUAAGCAGCUACGAGAGAGGUCAUCUCUUGAUCCAUGUUAUACGACCAAAAAAGUUGCAUCUUCUUGGUGAUUAUAUGUUUUUUGGAUGAUAUAUCUCGUGGUCUGUGAAUGCUUGUGCAGAGCCCCCGUAGGCGAUGCUGUGAAAUCAAAAGCUCCAAGGACGGCACUCUAAAGGUGUUGAUUAGAAGAUGUAAUCAACAAGAGUCCAUUACCCCCUAAGGUUUUGGUAAAUAGAAUACCCUUUUCUUUCUUCUUUUCUUUGUUUUUUUCCCCUGUCGUAUCGUAGCUUUCAAUAGAUGUUUAUCUUGAAAGCAAUUUAUUGGUGCUGGGGAUCGUGUAAAGCUGGCUCUCUAAUAAUUAAAUAGCGUAGAAGAUUGAAACUUUGUUACUUUGUGGUAACUAUUCAAGAGAGUAAAAUGCAAGGUCUAGCCAUCCUUUUGAUUGGAUGAAAAAUUUUUGUUCUCAUCACGGAAAAUCCAACAGUACGAAGAUUAUGGAAAGAGAUGCUAAUGAACCGAUCAAUUCUGUUCAAAGAAUGUACACGAGAAUACGUUGACUUUUGAGCUCUGACUGAAGGAGAAACGAAGGGAAAGAUCAGAAGAGUUUUGAGCCAUCACUAUACAAGUCAAAAGUUUUAGAAAAUUCAUUCCUCUCUCAGGCGGUCGAAUAGAAUUUGCCACUCUUAUGGAUUGCUGCAAAAAUGUCAAUGGUUGCUGGUCUUCCAAAGCCUUCACCCAGGCCUCGCUCCUUGCACAAUCUUUUUGGGAUACGGUACUAGUUGCAGAACAAUGUGUCUCUUGUUGCAUUACCGGUAGUUGGGUUCACUCUGAUGGUAAAAAGUCUUCAGACGAAGUGAAAAUACAUGAAAAAAAAAAUGUAUCAGGACUCACAGUAACCACAUUACCCGUCCGCAACCUUGCAAAGGUAUUCUCGUUGAUCAUCCCUGAGAGGAACAUCCGUAAAAUCUGCAAUUACAAAAUGCUCUGUAUCAGCAACUUUUUUUUUUGUUUUAAUUUAUCCCUCUCAAGAAACAUAUUACUAGCAUGCUUAUGAGUCACAAUUUGAAUAAUUUAGGCAGCAUUUACCCCUCUUUUUGGGUAAGUGAGAGGAUUUGAAUUUAAAAUCUCUUACUUUCGACUCUUUCCACCUUACCACCCAACCCAACUCUCCCCCAAUGCAGUAUUCCCAGGUUCCAUGGGGUUGAAAUCAUUUCCAAGACCCAGUAGCCGUCUCAAUACCAAAUGUGAAGGAACAUCUAAUCAGUAUAAUCAAGUCCAUAUCGUGAUUAUCAGUCGUUUCUCGUUGUUUUGUCACAAAGAUCAAGAAACAAGUGAAAAGAAGAUCAUCGCAGACAGAAAAUAGGAAACAUGGGCCAAGUGAGGGCACCAAGCGUUUUUCUAUUCUCUGUACAUGUCACAGUUAGUUACUUGUUUGCUCCUGUUUUGAAUUCCCUGCAAAGUUAUAUUUUAACUAUCCCACACCUGAAAUUUAUAACACUAUGGUAAAUGAUGCAUCAUGGCAAUUGUAAGUAUAAAAUUAAAAGUUAGUUUACAUGUCACAGUUAGUUACUUGUUUGCUCCUGUUUUGAAUUCCCUGCAAAGUUAUAUUUUAACUAUCCCACACCUGAAAUUUAUAACACUAUGGUAAAUGAUGCAUCAUGGCAAUUGUAAGUAUAAAAUUAAAAGUUAGUUCUUCUUACCUGCGCCAGUUAUAAUUGACCCUCUGAAAGAUGUAUUCCCGGUAGCAAGUGCGCCUUCCAAGUUUGCAUUGCUCAAAUUUGCCUGCAGAAAGUGACAGCCACACCGGAGAUGGAAGUCAAUUACAAGGUCAAAAAACUUAAGAAUCACAACUAGUACGUUACAGCUCCCAAGUGUAAUCAGUUAUGUAAGCUCCAAAUCCAGUUCAACAGCUACAAAAGCAUGCUCAAAGGCUAUGUGGAUGGAAAGACAGCCAUAAUUUCUUGAACAGAAUCUAUUACAAUCAAACAUGCACUGAAAUCCAGAAUGUUGACGAUACCAUCAAACAGUAUCUGGACAUCUGAAAUAGUUAAAAGAACUUCCAACCAAACACAGCCAUUCCCUUGUUGUUCUUAAAUUCUUUUUAUGAGCACCAUCAUAUUUUGGCAAGUAAAGAGGUGGUAUCUUUUGUACCCAACUCUUCUCUAUGGACUAGAAUAAAUUAAGCUUCUAGUUUGACUGCAUGUUAGCUUGCUACUCAAUCUGGACUGGUCAGGUACUCGUACAUUCCCAUCUUGAUUUUUUUUUUGAAGCAUAAGGGCAUUAGUCACAGAAAACAUCCAAUUAUUCAGAAGAUGAACAUCUUAUAUUCCCCCAAGAAAAAAGCACCUCAACUGAAUAUGCAGUGUAGCACCUUGCUCGUUACAAACAUGGACUAAUGGCAAAUGAUGAAUAGACACAGUGAAUUUUUUUAUGGCAACAAAAUCAACACAACACCAAAAGCAUGAAAUCUAUGUAUGACAUGAAGCAAAAUUCAUUACCUUGGUCACAUUUGCUAAAGAGAAGUCAGCUCCUCUAAGAUCAGCAUCAGAUAGAUCAGCACCUGAAUACAUAUAAAGCAGAAACCAAGAUUUUGUUUUGAAUAGACAAAAGCUUCACGAUCAGAAUGUCAGAUGAAGUAAUAUAGCAUGCUCUAUCUAAACCAGGGCUUUAGAUUUGUGUAGCUGCCAAAGUACAUUAGUAAAGCAGUUUUGCAUAAUCAUUUUGAUUUUCGAGUUAUUCCCUUCAGUGACCAUCACUGAGCUCCAUUUUUGGAACCUAAAUCUCACACGUUAGGUGCCAGUUUAGAAAUGAAAACUUAGAAUGGCAAUUGCUACACUAAUUGGUUUGUCCACAUAAAGAACAAAGUAAUUAGUUUGCCCUAGGUGCUUUUAGUUUACACUUUUCUUGUAAGUUACAAUUGUAGUCUUUUGCUGUAGUGGAAUCGGUGGCAGGCGGUUCAUCAUCAAGCAUUUCAGUAAUCGAAUUUAAUAUCCCAGAUACUCCCUAUGUCUGCUACUUUAGAUAAAAAAUUCUGUUUUUCCAUACUAGAAAAGCAAAUGACAUUUCAGUAGAGGAUAUACCUGUUAAAUCAGCAUCAAAGAAGCUAGCUCCUACUAAUGCUGCGCCUUUGAAUUUGGUUUGCCUAAGUAUUGACUGUUCAACAGAAUUCACAUGACGCCACGCGACUUAUCCAGGAUUGAAUAGCCCAACCAAAAAAAAAAAAGAAAAGAAAAAAGGUAUGCAGCAUACUUAAUCUAAAUGCAUAGAGAAGUGGACGAAUUUCAAUUCCACAUACAGUUUUAAAAUCUUGCUUGACCAAACUCUUCCCACUAAAAUCUUUCCCAGAGAGAUCUUGUCCCCUGGUAACUUCUGCACCGUAAGGACCUCCACCCUUUUCUCCCCAGAUUAUGUAACCCAAAAAAAAAAAAAAUCAUUAAUCAUUCCAAAAAAAAAACCCACAAUUUAGAAUCACAAUAAACGCUAAAAUAAUUGCGGGCUAAAUUGUAGUUUUGGUUACCUUGAAUGCUAAAGCAGGGUCGGAUGCAAAGAAGAGGGAAGCAGAGAGAAGGGCGAGAAAGCUUGCCCUGGAUAUUGAUUCUCCCAAGCAAAGCAGAGGAUUCUGAGGAGCUUGAGACUGAUGAUUCACGGGACGCUGUAAUGUGUGGAAAUAAAAUUGGCCAAGUUAAUCAAAUUGUAGUCUAGUGUACUUUUUGAGCUGAAUUCACCGGAAAAUGUAGCGUACCUGUGGCCUAGUGGCAGUGCAAUUGAAGGGAAGAGAAAGAGACGGGAAGCAAAAAUGCU
rnacentral:lncRNA from 1 species